GAGAUGUGGGUAGUCCGCACGAGCGCACCUCACUUUUAUGUUGCCAUCAUUAAGUUGGGCACUCUGAAAAAACUGCCAGUGAUAAGCUGGAGGAAGGUGGGGAUGACGUCAAGUCCUCAUGGCUCUUACGUGUUGGGCUACACACGUGCUACAAUGGCAUCUACAACAGGAAGCAAAACGGCAACGUUAAGCAAAUCCCGAAAAGAUGCCUCAGUUCGGAUUGCACUCUGCAACUCGAGUGCAUGAAGCUGGAAUUACUAGUAAUCGUGGAUCAGCGUGCCACGGUGAAUGCGUUCCCGGGUCUUGUACACACCGCCCGUCACACCAUGGGAGUUGGUUCUACCUUAAGGCAAGGUUUUAAACCCUUGACCACGGUAUAGUCAGCGACUGGGGUGAAGUCGUAACAAGGUAGCCGUAGGGGAACCUGCGGCUGGAUUACCUCCUUUCU
rnacentral:rRNA from 1 species